AAGUCGUAACAAGGUUUCCGUAGGUGAACCUGCGGAAGGAUCAUUAUCGAGUUUUGACUGGGUUGUAGCUGGCCUUCCGAGGCAUGUGCACGCCCUGCUCAUCCACUCUACACCUGUGCACUUACUGUGGGUUUUACGGGUCGUGACAUGGGCUCGUUUAUUCGGGCUUGUUGAGCGCACUUGUUUGCCUGCGUUUAUCACAAACUCUAUAAAGUAUUAGAAUGUGUAUUGCGAUGUAACGCAUCUAUAUACAACUUUCAGCAACGGAUCUCUUGGCUCUC
rnacentral:misc_RNA from 1 species